GUGGGCACAACAAUGAGAGUCUUCACGACGGUACUAGCAUCCGACUCUUUACAAUCUCGCACAUCCACUCUGCCAGAAGAGGUCACGUGAUCAACACAACCUUAUCAGAAAUCUACAUAGUUGCAUAAAAAUAGCAGAAGAUUUUUGUAUCACCAGAACAUUUAGCUCAUUGUCUCAUGUUGACUCACGAGUUUCGUCGACUGUCGGACACACAUACUAAUCACGAAGACAAAUUACAGAUCAAGAACAUUAUAUACCAUUCGGUGAAGGACUCGGUCAGAGUAUUACUGAGCGAACGAUAGCGGCAUCGUGACGGAUGCCAAUCCUCACGUAAUCGCUUUAAUCAUUUAAUGCAGACGGUACUAAAACUGGUUUAACUGGUAUACCUUUCAUCACUACAGACGUACUGUACUGUUUGUUCUUAAUACAAUACUCAUGUUGGUUUUUACUGUAUAUA